GUGCUUGCUUUGGCAGCACACAUACUAAAAUUAGAAAGAUACAGAGAAGAUUAGCGUAGUCCUUGCACAAGGAUGAUACGAAAAUUCAUGAAGUGUUCCAGAGUUUU
ensembl:snRNA U6 U6 spliceosomal RNA